GCUUAAGUUUGGGGACAAUCUUGAGAGUUGGUUCCCUGCGUUGAAAACGUUCUGAAGUUUGUCUCUUGUUCAAGUUCAGGGGUCCGCACGGCAGAAGCCGAGCUAUUUCAUUGCUGGAUACGGAUUUAGCUGAGUCCCCUGCACCCUACUUCACCCUCCCGGAACGUGCGGGAAAGCGUGCUGGGGGUUCAGCUCUGCUUCACAGGGGCGGUCUCUUUAGGGGUGGAAUUGAGGGUGCAGUGUCUAGAUGGGAAUGAGCAUUCCGGAAAUCAGAAAUUCGGGGAACCGGGAUUUCGCCUGCGCCCGACUCCCGCCCCCGCGCAACGUGCGCACCUCCCCACCCCCAGCACACACUAUAGCACUCCUUCCGCCCUGAUUUGCCUCCGGGAAAACAAGUCGGGAGAGCUGGGGGCACUCGCCCAAAAUCACCCUGGAGAACCGGGAGUCUGGAAUAGAAGCACGCUUGUAUCUCUCCACUCCCUGUCUGGUGGUGGGCCCAUAUUCUAUGCAGCCUCUAGGAAGCGCUAGACCCAUGUGUCUUUCACCAACCAGAGGCCAAGCAUCAAGAAGGCAGAAGAAAGUAUCUCUUGGUCUUCACUGAGUCUACAGCAUCUAGCAUGGCACAGAGAGUGUGCUCAGUCCAUCUGGGUUAUUCAUCAGAGGUUUUUGUCAAGGAGAAGUUCAAAACUGUACAUCACCCUUAUGGGCAUGCCUAGACUGCACUCAAAAUUUUCACAAAACUUUCAGGAUCAUAAAGUAGCCAGAGUCCUUCUGGGUGAUCUUCCAAGACCUGUCCUUCUCCCAGUGAAGGACCUCCUUUGGCAGCAUCUUGGCUACUUAAAUAUUGUAGCCACAGAGUGAGGACAUGAUGCCCAGAGAGCAGUAGUAAUAAUUCUACUUAGUGCUGUUGGCUGGACACCUUCAGGAAUACUGUGGGUAUGAAACUUGGAGAGCAAUUUUGGCCAACCAUAGAGAUCUGAAGGUAGGAUGGCUACACCAUAAGAGACCUGAAACCAUGCUCCAUCGGAAAGAACUGAAAGAACUGGGAUUAUUCAGGGGGUCAUGGGGUAGGGAUGGUGGGGACAAGACAGAACAUAUAGGAGUCUCCAAAUAAGGGGAGUUGACUUACUCUGUAGGCUUUGAGGUCAGAGCUAGAGUAAUGUUAGAAGUUAGAGAAGACAGCUGCUAUAUUUAAGGAAGAACUUGCUGAAAUUAGUUAUUUAUCAAUAGGACAAUUACUUUAACUGUAGAAUUGAAGUCCUUCCACUCAACACAUAUUUAUUGUCUUCUAUGUUCCAGACACUCUGUAAGGUUAGUUUAUGAUAAUUCCUAGCAAGCACAUAGUACUUGUGGUAAUCAUCACUUAUUUUCACAAUUCAUAAAAGCCAUCUUAAGUAAUCUCAUUUAGAAUUUGGAGUUUGUCUCCAACAUUAGUGGUUUCUCAAUUCUAGAGUUGCACAUUUUUACUCACAAAAUUUGUAAACUGCAUUGAUGUUUUCUCAUGUCCAAUGUUAGUUAUGGACAUUCUUCUAUCAAAACAAGUGUUUUCAGUAUCAUAAAUCAAAAUUACCUAUACUUUAUCCACUGUCUUUAUUGCUUCCAUAUUUAAGGAUCACUUGGGACGAUGAGAUACUUACUGUUCUGGUAGAAGAACUAUAAAGUAUUCACCAAGCCCCUGCCCUUUUGUACCUUGGUACACAGCUAGACUGCAUUUCCUGGCUCCUUUGUAAGUAGGUGUUCCUGAGUUUUAAACAUUGCAAAGAGGGUCAGAAGGAUGUGUGUCACAGGCCUGGUUCAUAAAACCAUCUCUCCCUAUCUCCUGAUAAGGGACUCCAAGGUCAUAUACAAGGAUACAACCACAGAGAAAAGGAGCCUGGAUCUCUGAAAGAAGGUCGUCUAAAACCCAGAAAUAGGGUUUGGACUUGGAAUGAGAAAUCAACUUUAUUGUGUAGAUGGACUGAGAUUUGGGAUAUUUGUUAGAGCUGCCAAUGUCAUCUUACUGCAGUUGGUGCUGCAGGAUAACCUCAGUGAGGGAUCACAGAUCCAAAGUAGGGGUUUUGUCCCAGUUUGAAGAGAAUUAAUGGAGAAGACAGAGUAAAGCAGAUGGCACUUAAUUGCAUAUGGAGGCUUCCUUUUGCUAAUAUUUUCUUCCCAUCUAAUUUAUAAACUUCAUGAGGCAUGUUAGCAUGUCUUAUGUCCUCGUAGAGUGAGUAUUUACUGAGAAAUGCCUCGUGCUUUGGGGUUUUCAGAAAGAAUCCAGAGAGCACAUACUGUUAAACAUUCAUUAAUUCAACCGUGUGUGAGUAUUUACCAUAGACCUGUCUCUGGUGAUCAUGGUAAACAGGAACUACAGGCCUACCUACAAGUUGACAGAUAGCAAGGAAAGUGGGUAACCAGGAGGCAAGACUAUUCCAGUCUGAUAAUGCCGUGAUGUGACAGACAGGAACAGGAUUCUCUGUCUGCACAUGGCACCUAACAAGGGUAGAGACCAGAGAAUUGUUGUUAAGAAGGUGGUGAAAGUUUUAAACUGAGACUUCCAGGAUGAAUAGAAGUACCCAGAAGAAGUGGAGGUGGUGCAGAAAGAAAGAAUAAUCUAAGAAGAGUCAGGACGUACAACAAGGCCUGGUGUUAAGGAAUGUAGGGUAUGUUUGGAGGGACAAAAGGGAAGCAAGAAAGGAAGAGUGAGGAUGAGCAUCAGAGGAGGGCUUUGUGGUUUAUGUGCACAUGUGCUGAAGUGCACCUGGAGGCCUUGCACUAUGUUCAAGCAUCAUACACUAAGAUGUGUAUGCAUGUUCUUAGGAAAUAUGACUGGGUAGCCAUCAAGAUGUCAAUGAAUGGGCUGGGAUUGUGGCUCAGUGGUAGAGCACUUGCCUCACAUAUGUGAGGCACUGGGUUUAAAUCUCAGCACUGCAUAUAAAUAAAUAAAAUAAAGGUCCAUCAACAACUAAAAAAAUAUUCUUAAGAAAUGUCAAUGAGUGCUAUUUGGGUAAAUUCCACUGUCCUUAUUGCUUCCCUGUUUGUUUUAAACUUUUCUGCAAUAAACAUGUAUACUCGCAAUUUAAAAAAA